UGCCAGCAGCCGCGGUAAUACGAAGGGCCCGAGCGUUGCGCGGAAUCAUUGGGCUUAAAGCGUACGUAGGCGGACAUGCAGGCGUUUUGUGAAAGCCCUCGGCUCAACCGAGGAAUUGCUUGACGAACCGCAUGUCUUGAAGCAAGUAGGGGCUGUCGGAACGAUAGGUGGAGUGGUGAAAUGCGUUGAUAUCUAUCGGAACGCCGAAGGAGAAAUUAGGCAGCUGGGCUUGUCUUGACGCUGAGGUACGAAAGCGUGGGGAGCGAACGGGAUUAGAUA
rnacentral:rRNA from 1 species